rnacentral:rRNA from 1 species
AUUGAACGCUGGCGGCAUGCCUUACACAUGCAAGUCGAACGGUAACGCGGGGCAACCUGGCGACGAGUGGCGAACGGGUGAGUAAUGCAUCGGCACGUGCCCAGUAGUGGGGGAUAGCCCGGCGACAGCCGGAUUAAUACCGCAUACGACCUACGGGUGAAAGCGGGGGAUCGCAAGCACGCGCGCUAUUGGAGCGGCCGAUGUCAGAUUAGGUAGGUGGUGGGGGAAAGGCCUACCAAGCCUACGAUCUGUAGAUGGUCUGAGAGGACGACCAGCCACACUGGGACUGAGACACGGCCCAGACUCCUACGGGAGGCAGCAGUGGGGAAUUUUGGACAAUGGGGGCAACCCUGAUCCAGCCAUGCCGCGUGCGGGAAGAAGGCCUUCGGGUUGUAAACCGCUUUUGUCGGGGAAGAAAUCCUCCGGGCUAAUACCCCGGGGGGAUGACGGUACCCGGAGAAUAAGCACCGGCUAACUACGUGCCAGCAGCCGCCGCAGUAA